CCCUGAGCAUGUGAAGAAUUCAGAAGUGCUCUUACAAGCAGGGGGGAUAAAACCACACAGUGCAGAUGCUGAGAGGCAGCAUCAGUGAGCUGAGAAGUGAUUAUGCUGCACCCCUGGGCAACGAGGCUGUCACCAGACCUCCAAACAAGAUGUGAGAAUCUGGGACAGUUCUUUGCUUGGCACUUCCCCUGCCUGGCUCCCAGUCAGGAAUGAAACCCCAGCACUGCCCAAAGGCAGAUCUGGGGAGCAGGAGGGGUCACACCCAGGGCACACCCAGCCAGAAAUGAAGGAAUGAAACAGGGGAAGUGACAACUCGUGGCUUUUGCUGCAAGCCAGAGCUCAGCUGAUGACUUGUCACACAGCAGCUGCAGCUCCGAAUUGUUACAGGACAGCUGGAAUCACUGCUUGCCAUAAAACACCUCGACUUUUGGCUCUGCUGCCCACCCAGACCCCAUGGAAGCAUCCAGUGCAGGGAUCCAGCAUCGCUCGUGGUGAGGGAGCAAACUCAGCUGAGACUGGGAUGGCAGCGCUGAGGAAAUGCAGGCACAGCCACGGGAGAAUGAAAGAAAUCUGGGAAGAGCAGCCAACAACAGGAAUGCCAAAAAUGCACCAAAAAUGCCACAAUAGGAACCAGUGCCAGGUUUGGGCCUGGUUUUGCUCUCUCCUUGCAAGGACUCCCUAAAAGGUUGAUGACAAAGAUCUUCUGCUUCAUCUCUCUCAUCUCUUUUUUAUUUCCUUUCUCUACCUCACAUUUACUGUGCAAUAAAAUCUGAACUACUGACUCCAG
rnacentral:lncRNA from 12 species